rnacentral:rRNA from 1 species
CGAAGGGGGCUAGCGUUGUUCGGAAUUACUGGGCGUAAAGGGCGCGUAGGCGGUCCUGAUCGUCGGAUGUGGAAGGCCUGGGCUCAACCUGGGAACUGCAUCCGAUACGGCGGGACUGGAGUGUGGGAGAGGUUGGUGGAAUUCCCAGUGUAGAGGUGAAAUUCGUGGAUAUUGGGAAGAACACCGGUGGCGAAGGCGGCCAACUGGACCACAACUGACGCUGAGGCGCGAAAGCGUGGGGAGCAAACAGGAUUAGAUACCCUGGUAGUCCACGCUGUAAACGAUGCGUGCUAGACGUUGGGAGACCUAGUCUCCCGGUGUCGUCGCUAACGCUUUAAGCACGCCGCCUGGGAGUACGGCCGCAAGGUU